GAAGAAAUGCUUUUACCCUAAGAAUGAAGCACCGGACACAGGUGCUUGUGGGCGCUAUCAACAUUUAGUGAGUGACUCAGCUUAGAUGUCACCUUGUGGUCAAAGCAGACUCAGGUGGUGCCCCUCUUUGCGCCUCCCUCCCAGCCCUGUGUCUCCCCCUUUUGAACAUCCAUCCCCCUGGGUUGUGACCCACUAUUCUGCGUCUCCUCCAGAUCAGAUUGUGAACUUGAGGGGCAGGGUCCGAGCCUGACUCAGUGCCUGGCCCAUAGCAACCGCUUCAGGAAGCCCCGAGGGUCACCACUCCAGGGACCUCCGGGAACUGAGGGAGAAGAAAAGCAGCCACGGGACUUUCUCCCUUAAGGAUGGCGCUGGGCCGAGCAAGAUUUCUAGGACUUUGUCCCCAACUCAGAGACAUCCAAGAGCCACCUUCAGCCACUGUCCUCCCUGACCAUGGCAAGCCCACCUCCUGUCUUCAGCUCCA